UGUUUUAUGGCCUAGCAUAUGGUCUAUUGUAGAGAAUGCUCCACAAGCACUUGAGAGGAACAUGUAUCCUGCUGCUGUUGGGUGCAGUGUUCUGUGGAUAUCUACUAGAUCUAGUUGGUUUUCGAAAAAAAUUAGCCAAACAUUCAAGUGACAGCUUCUGGGAUGGCAAAGCCAUACUGUUAUUAAACUUUCCAAUCUUUUAAACAGUAAGUCCAUUACACUAAUUAUUUCCGAAAUGUUUUUAACUAGAAAAAAUGAAUAUAUAUGAGUCGUGGGCAAUGCAAAGAUGUGGCACCUGCACAGUCAGUUCAGGGGCUGCAAAGCCAGCCACCUCCACUUCGCUAUUCCACACACGAGCAACCCCAGGGAACUCUCUGCUUGUCUCACGUGGGUCUAGAACUGCUACAGAAAAUGUGCUACGCUCAGAUGCUUUGGUUUUUACCUUUCAAUGUUUCCGAGAUUAACUGUGGAGCACAAAAGCACCUAAGCUAUGAGGAACAUUCAAGGAAGUCAGGCAAAGGAUGUAUUUGGCAGUAGCCUUGGUUUAGACAACACAAAAAAAACAAGGUGGAGGGAAGUAAAAUUUAAAUGCUAACAAUGGAAAGCUAAAACAAAUCAUUCUACCUGCAGCACAACCAACAUCCAGUCACUCCGAGUUAUCCGUCCAAAGUACUCAGUCAAGACAUCCAGCCACUCCGAGCUAUCAGUCCAAAGGACUCAGUCAAGACUGUUUCUACAUUUAAAUAGCACGGAGGCAUCAAAGAUGGGGAGGGGGGCAAAUACUUCUUUGUUUCUUGCUCUGCUAAAAAUGUUUAAGCUAAAAUACAAUUGUCUGCUUAAACUGUGGAAUUCAAGGUGAUGGAACAAUGCUCCUUAAUUCAAAAUCUUCAAAUUUAACAUACUUAAAAGUAAUAUGACAGUCGCUGUUUGAAAAGUACAGGCUUUUCUUAAAAAUUACACCAUGCCUAAAGGAAAGAAAAACUAAAAGAAAAGAUUCACCAACACUGGAUGGUUUCAGAAAUUAUGCUACAUGAUCUCAAUAGAGCAUUAUGUACAGAAGGUAGAAAUGAUUUUUAUAAAGAUUUCUUAAUACAAGGAAAAGCCUACAUUGUAAGGUUAAAUGUGGGAAAAAAACAUGAAACAAAAUGUUAUAGAUAAUAUGCACUCGACUAUGUAAAUACAAUGCAUAGAAAACAAGACUUAGAGGAAAUACAGAAAACAGCUGCUUAUGCACAGUGGUACGGCGGCUGCCUGGUGGCCAUACACAGGACAGUAACCCCUGAGUGAGCGCUGAGCGGGCAAGUGCCCCGCACCCUGGCUCAAAGGACGGGCUGGAACCACAGCUCAGGCUCCAAGCUGGAUGAGUCCUUCUUCCUCCCAGCCCAGACCUAGACACUGCGACCCUAGCAACCUAGAGAAGAGACCCAGGCUACCUUCGAGGCCCAGCCCUGGGCGGGGCAAGAGAUGGGGAAGGGCCCAGAUUCACACUGCUUGCCACACAGAGGUGAUACCAUGGUGCCACCCCCAAGGAACUGAAGUAGAGCCCAGGACUCUCCCCAUGCAGAUAGCCACUGGUCUCUUGGGAGCAGAGAAAGUAGAGAGAUCCUUCUCCAGCCCUCCCAGUGUGGCUGUGUGGGAAGAAAGGAUCUUAAUCAAAGGGGAGGCUGCACAGUGAGGAGAUAGGCUUCAAUAAGUCUUCUCAACAGUGGGAUGGCCAAGUAUUUUAAUUGCUUCCUUCAUAACUUAUCUAUAUUUACCAGUAUCUCUAUACUGUUUCUAAAGCUAUGUUUUUACAUUACUCUGUAACGCUGAAGGAACAUACUUCAAAAUAAUAAGAGCCAAUUAUGACAAACCCACAAUCAACAGCACACUGAAUGGACAAAAGCUGGAAGCACUCCCCUUGAAAACCAGAACAAGACAAGGAUGCCCACUCUCAAAACUCCUAUUCAAUAGAGUACUGGAAGUCCUUGCCAAAGCAAUCAGGCAACAGAAAGAAAUAAAAGGCAUUCAAUAGGAAGAGAGGAAAUAAAAGUGUUUGCAAUCAAUACGAUUCUAUACCUAGAAAACCCCAUAGUCUCUGCCCAAAAGCUCCUAGAUCUGAUAGCUUCAGUAAAAUUUUAGAAUACAAAAAUCAAUGUACAAAAAGCAGUAGUAUUUCUGUACACUAACAAUGUCCAAGCUGAGAGCCAAAUCAAGAAUGCAAUCCCAUUUACAACAGCCACAAAAAGAAUAAAAUACCUAGAAAUACAGCUAACCAGGUAACAUAUAAGAUCUCUACAAUGAGAAUUACAAAACACUGCUCAAAAAAAUCAGAGAUGAAUAUACAAAUGGAAAACCAUUCUAUGCUCAUGGAUAGGAAGAAUCACUAUUGUUAAAAUGGCCACACUGCCCAAAGCAAUUUACAAACUCAGUGCUAUUCCUAUUAAACUACCAAUAAAUGACAUUUUUUGCAGAAUUAGGAAAAAAAACUAUUUUAAAAUUCACAAGGAAUCAAAAAAGAACCUGAAUAGCCAAAGCAAUCCAAAGCAAAAAAGAACAAAGCUGGAGGCAUUACAAUAUUCAUGCUUAUGAAUAUACUUGUGAGUACACUUGAAACUAUACUUCAAGGCUACACUAACAAAAACAGCAUGGCACUGGUAACAUGGCACAAUAACAAAAACAGACACACAGACCAAUGGAACAGAAGAGAGAGCCCAGAAAUAAAGCCACACAUUUACAGCCAUCUGAUCUUUGACAAAGUGGACAAAAACAAGCAAUGGAGAAAGGACUCCCUAUUCAAUAAAUGGUGCUGGGAUAACUGGUUAGCCAUACACAGAAGAUUGAAACUAGACCCCUUUGUUAUACCAAAAUCAACUCAAGAUAGAUUAAAGACUUACAUGUAAAACCUAAAACUGUAAACAUCCUGUAAGAUAAUGUAAGGAAAUACCACUCCAGACACAGACCCUGGCAAAGAUUUCAUGACCAAGAUGUCAAAAGCAAUUGCAACAAAAACAAAAAUUAACAAAUG
rnacentral:lncRNA from 1 species